CUCAGAGUCCUAGAAAAGAGUCUUUUCAUCCUAAUUCCAUACAAGCCUGAGGCCUGAAUUCGGAGCCCUUCAACCUCUUUUAAUCUAAGAAGGAGAUGGUCUCUUUUAGAAACGCCUUCAGCUUCUUACCCCUUGCUGUUCUGACAGAGUCUAACUCAGCAGGGGUUCGUGAAGGCUUAUGAAGUGAAGGCAGAUCAGAGCUAGAAGUCUUAACCCUGUCCUUGAACUUUACCUACAUCAUCCCACCAAACACUCCAAUGCCCCAGGGAUCAGGCCUUUAUCUGUUUCCCAGGUGAAUCUUCAGUGUUUCCUCGUGGCUUUGCUGCCUCAGCUGGUCCAAGAGCUUAUCAAGGGGCUCCUUGGGGCCCUGGGGCCGCACCUGCUCCUCCGGGCUGUGCCUGUGCCGCUGUUGCUCCAGCCUCUUCUCCAGCCCCAGAUCCUGCACCGACAGCAGGCUCUGAUGUGUCUCCCACAGCUGCACGGCCUCUUGGAAGUAGCUGAAGAGAUCCGAGCUCUGCCAUUCUGUCUGCUUUGCCAGGCCCUCAAAGGAUUUCUGCAGCAGCAGAACCCAGAGAAGGGGCUUUAAAGGCCAACUGGCCCAGGGUGAGGGGAAGGCCCCCCCCCCCACAGGGCUCCCUCACCAGCCAGUAGAGGGCCCACCUCUCCAAGGACUGGCCGUCGCUGCCUGGGCACCAAUCCCUCGGGGUCAUCUUCCUGGGUCACACUUUGGCUCAUGGCCCUCCCUCCUCUGGGACAGCUUCUGGUCUGCCCAAAGCUACGCCCUCAGUCUGGCUGACCCCGAAGGCCCAUCUCUAGACCUGUCCCAUAUCCACUGAAGUCACUCGUGGGAGGAAGGAGAAGUGUGGAGCCUCAAAGAAAGCAGGAGCCACCAGACACCAGUUCCAAAGAACUCCUUCUUUGGAGUUCCCUGAUUCUUAGCAUCUGAGCCAAACACCACACUCUGCUGUUAAAUCCUCACCUCUCCCCAUUUUAUGGAUGUAUUUUAUGCUCUCAUUGGGGCCAGGGGUCAACAAACUUAGCCUAGGAACUAAAUUUGGCCCUCUA
rnacentral:lncRNA from 1 species